UACGGAGGGUGCAAGCGUUGCUCGGAUUUACUGGGCAUAAAGAGCUCGUAGGCGGUUUGGUAAGUCUGAUGUGAAAGCCCUGGACUCAAUCCAGGAAGUGCAUUGGAUACUGCUAGACUAGAGUGCAGGAGAGGUGAGCGGAAUUCCAGGUGUAGAGGUGAAAUUCGUAGAUAUCUGGAGGAACAACGGAGGCGAAGGCGGCUCACUGGACUGAUACUGACGCUGAGGAGCGAAAGUGUGGGUAGCGAACAGG
rnacentral:rRNA from 1 species